UACGUAGGGUGCAAGCGUUAAUCGGAAUUACUGGGCGUAAAGGGCGCGCAGGCGGCUCUGAAAGUCAGAUGUGAAAUCCCCGGGCUCAACCUGGGAACUGCAUUUGUGACUGUAGAGCUGGAGUACGGUAGAGGGGGAUGGAAUUCCGCGUGUAGCAGUGAAAUGCGUAGAUAUGCGGAGGAACACCGAUGGCGAAGGCAAUCCCCUGGACCUGUACUGACGCUCAUGCACGAAAGCGUGGGGAGCAACAGG
rnacentral:rRNA from 1 species